rnacentral:lncRNA from 1 species
GAAGCUGGACUGAAAGAAUGGGAGCAGGUGGAAGGGGAGAAGCAGCUGUCAGCCACAGAGGAGAAAGUGAAAUUAGCUGCAGAAGAGCUUUGGAACUACAAGGCGCUGUGACGUUUUCAAAAAGGCUAAACCGUUUGGUGUCCAGUGGAGGCCUGGGUGUGGUAACUCUUAGUGAAACUGAUUCAUCUCGACCUUCAAGACUGGAAGUCAUCCAAAGACAGAGGCUUCCAGAGGAAUUCAGGAGGCACAAACCAAUGGCAAGAGGACCUGAUAGGGAGAUCCCUUCAUGGAGAGUCUAUGCAAAUCGGAAUAAACCUCCAUCCAUUUUUUGGCCUCUAUCAAACGCAGAACCUGGUGCAGCUUCUGUGAGGAACAAGAAUUCUGUCCCUACUAUGGACACAGAGAAGGUCAAGGGAGAUGAGGUGACCAUUUUCAGUUGUAACUCUCUCUCUGGAACCUUUUGUCUCUUUAUACAGCACUCUCUCCUGAUCUUGUCUCUAGCUUGUGUGUUCUGAGAUAUAUCUAUGGUGUUAUCUACUUUACAAAGAGUAAAACUCUUUCCCAAGAGCCUACAGGCCUCUCUGUUGUUAGCUUGUUUGUCAUCUUUGGUGGUGCCUCCAGCAGCCAAAAGUGUUUAGAGGCUGAGGACCACAGGGCAGUCACUGUGUGUUUGUGGAAAUAACAUGAGGAGGAUGGCAUCUCACUCCACACUUACAUCUCCUGGCCUGGCUCACUUUUUCCAGACCUCCUUUCAUGGGAAUAUUCCUGAAAACUGAAACAGUAUUAUUGUUAUUUUACUCUUUUUUGUACAGAGU